rnacentral:lncRNA from 1 species
AUUUUUUUAAAAUGAAUAAAAGUAAACUUAGUCUAGUGUUCUUGUCCUGUUCACACUAGUGUUUGAACCAGGAAUGAUUCAUUAGUGAUUUUGAACCAAGAAUAAUUUCACUAGUGAUUCUGUACAAUGAAUGAUUGCACUUAUGUUUAAGAUCAAAUGUUGAAUUGUUUUAGUACACAAGUAUGCUAUAUUUACUAUGUAUUUAUUCAGAAGCCG